UGCUUUACACAUGCAAGUCGAGCGGCAGCAUGUCCUUCGGGAUGAUGGCGAGCGGCGAACGGGUGAGUAAUACAUCGGAACGUACCUUUUAGUGGGGGAUAACGCAUCGAAAGAUGUGCUAAUACCGCAUAAUCUCUGAGGAGGAAAGGCGGGGACCUUCGGGCCUGUCGCUGAAAGAUCGGCCGAUGGCUGAUUAGCUAGUUGGAGGGGUAAAAGCCCACCAAGGCGAUGAUCAGUAGCUGUUCUGAGAGGAAGAUCAGCCACACUGGGACUGAGACACGGCCCAGACUCCUACGGGAGGCAGCAGUGGGGAAUUUUGGACAAUGGGGGCAACCCUGAUCCAGCAACGCCGCGUGAAUGAAGAAGGCCUUCGGGUUGUAAAGUUC
rnacentral:rRNA from 1 species